rnacentral:lncRNA from 10 species
GGAAAGUCUGAACCAUUAGUACUUAGGAGGCAGGGAUUGGAGGAAGUAGAUUCAGAGGUAAGGAGAAUUUUGGGGCUACACUUUCAAGAAAGUCAUGGUUGGGACCCAGGAAGUAUGGGUCAGAAGGAAAGGUAGGGGUGCACACAUGUAGAAUAGAGACUUCUGGCUGCACCAUGAUCUCAACCAGCUAAUUCAGGGAGUUUGGAACAACAGCUUUCUGCCUCUAGUCUGCCCUUGGCUUCCCCAAGAAAAUUGAAAGUGGAAGCUGGUUCCAGGCAGACCACAGAAGGGUUGGGGGUUGUUAGAAAGCCCUUCUCCAGACAGCCUCACACCUGAGUCUUAGCAGCAGCCAUGCUAAUUGUUUUUAACUGGCUGACAGGUGCCCGGUAUUUUCCUCCAAUCUAAGGAAGGAUAGGACAGAAUAGCAAGCAAAAGUGGUCCAAUAUUACUCACCACUUUGGAGGUCCCUUCAUGGUUACCAGAAUGUUACCAGGGUUCCUUGCUCCCAGAGCUGCCAAGAUGGUGGCAGGCCACUUCCAAGAUGGCGGCAAGCCUCUUGUUCUCUGAACUGGGGUUCUUGGCCUCACGGAUUCCAAGGAAUGGAAAAUCUUGGGCCAUGUGGUGAGUGUUAUAGCUCUAUUAGAAACUGUGGGUCAUGGAAGAGAACCGUGGAACACAGCGACUAGUGUUCAGCUCGAUUAGGAUGAACCUGGGCACUUAGCCGUGCAGGAACGAUGGCAAGCCUUUAGCCUGAUCCGGAGCAGCAACGGGUGCCUCACUGGAUCAGAAGCACAGCAGACACCCUGUCAGAUCCGGAGGGGUGGAAGUCAGUGGCAGGUCUGCAUCAGCGACAAACAGCCGUGGUGGAUGAGUAUUCUAGCUGCCUCCGCCUUUGAGACAGAGCAGGAAGAACCUGUGGAUGGUGGGAUUCCCUCUUCUUGGAGAAGGGGAUGAGCAUUUCCCGCUGCCCUCCUGACACGCCCGUGGCUGUCUGCCUUGCUCUGUACCUCCAGACUUCAUGGAAAGCAUGCUCGACCUUUGACUUCUGGGUGGGUGACUUGGGGCACACCCAAGCAGGAGACCAGCCUGCAGAGAGGGGGCCUAUGUCACUCUGGCCACUCUGUGGUUGGGCUGGCUGUGGCCCACAGACCCUCUGCUCCCUCUGUGAGUCCCCUUGGGCCCCUUUCCUCUUUCCUAGGGUGUGAGUGUGGCACCCUUCAUGACACUCUUCCUAAUCACCCCAUAGGGUGUGCCGCUUCCUUCCUGCGGGAACUCUAACUGGCCCUGUGUAAUGAUCUUUUACACAGAGCUCGUAAAACUAACCCCUGGCCCUGAUGAGUCUUUGGAACAUGAGGCUUACCGGUGAUGAAUAACUCCCAGCAAUCACUGAAACAUCACAAGCUUCUGUCUCUGCUUCCCGCUCCACACCGCCCUCUGCUCUGCUUAGUCUGGUUCAUGUUUUGCAUUCACAUCAUUGCUAUUGUUGUUUUUUCUCCCGUUCCUCUGGACUCCUUUUUGUUGCCCAGCACUAACAAUCAUAAAACUUAUGUUCUAAAAUCAUAAAACUGCAAUGGAGAGCAAAGACAAAAAACAAAUGGUUUUAAGUUAGAGUUGUAACACUACAUAAUUUACUACCUCGGGAGGAUGGGAUGAGAAUUCUGGUCAAAUGAAAUUUCUCUGGUCUAUAAAUCUGCUAUUUCCAAUUGGUACUUUGGCUUUCCAAAAUGUUUAACAAACAGGACUUUGGGGGCUACAUGUUUUUCACAAACCUGUUUGGGAUAUAUUAGUUAUAGUUUUUGGCUACACAAGAAAGUAAGUCAAAAUUUAAUUUGUGCAAGAAUAAUAGACUUGUUUUUUUAAUGAUAAAUGAAAAGAAAAUUUGGAAGAGACUGUGUUUCCUCACAGAUUCUGCCACCUUGGGACUCCUAACCCUACCAAAAAAUCUAGAUGGGAUGAGGAAUUGUUUUCCAUAUUUUCAUGCAUUUUAGAACAAUUAUUUUUUAUUUUUAGUUUUAGCUCCACAAAUAUGACCAAUGAUAUUGCAUAUUAAAGUAAAAAUUUGAAAACAGCUAUGCAUCCACAGGUUAAAUUUUUAUUUCUGUGGUUUAAAUCUGAUUUCACCACAUUUUCCCCCAAUGAAAUGGAUGCUUGGUAAUGCAGUUAAAUAUCUGACUUUUCAGGAGCAUAAAAUAGCAGCUCUUCUUCCUGGGGAUGGGGCAGUGGCCACCCCAAGGUGUGGAGGGCUUUCCUGUGGAAGCAUCACAUGGACUCAUCAUCUGUGGCUCCAGUGGAGAAACCUGGAGUCAAUGGAUGUACGCUGGAGGGAGACCAACUUCAACUUCAUACGAGGAAACAUUUCUAAUAAUUAGGUUAGCGGAGGUACAAACUGCCUUGAAGGGCUGUGCUUUUUCUGCCUCUGAAAUUUCUUCAGGAAAGCCUGAGCUGUAUGCUGCAAAUGAGAAGCUUAACUUGUUAACCUCAAGCAAGGAUUAAAUUAAGUUCCAGUGACAUAUCACUGAUCUUCAUAUAGACCAAUGGAACAGAGCAGAGGCCUCAGAAAUAAUGCCACACAUCUGCAACUGUCUGAUCUUUGACAAACCUGACAAAAACAAGCAACUGGGAAAGGACUCCCUAUUUAAUAAAUGGUGCUGGGAAAACUGGCUAGCCAUAUGCAGAAAACUGAAACUGGAGCCCUUCCUUAUACCUUAUAUAAAAAUUAACUCAAGAUGGGUUAAAGACUUAAAUAUAACAUAAAACCAUAAAAACCCUAGAAGAAAACCUAGACAAUACCAUUCAGGACAUAGGCAUGGCCAAUGACUUCAUGACUAAAACAUGAAAAGCAAUGGCAAUGAAAGCCAAAAUUGACAAAUGGGAUCUAAUUAAACUAAAGAGCUUCUGCACAGCAAAAGAAACUAUCAUCAGAGUCAACAGGCAACCUACAUGGGAGAAAAUAUUUGCAAUCUAUCUAUUUGACAAAGGGCUAAUAUCUAGAAUUUACAAGGAACUUAAACAAAUUUACAAGAAAAAAACAACCCCAUCAAAAAGUGGGCAAAGGAUGUGAACAGCCACUUCUCAAAAGAAGACAUUUAUGCAGACAACAAACAUAUGUAAAAAAGCUCAUCAUCACUGGUCAUUAGAGAAAUGCAAAUCAAAACCACAAUGAGAUACCAUCUCGUGCCAGUUAGAAUGGCAAUCAUUAAAAAGUCAGGAAACAACAGAUGCUGGAGAGGAUGUGGAGAAAUAGGAACACUUUUACAUUGUUGGUGGGAGUGUAGAUUAGUUAAACCAUUGUGGAAGUCAGUGUGGCGAU